rnacentral:rRNA from 1 species
GACGGAGGGUGCGAGCGUUGUUCGGAAUCACUGGGCGUAAAGGGCGCGUAGGCGGCUGGGACAGUCGGCUGUGAAAGCCCGGGGCUCAACCCCGGAGGUGGAGCCGAGACUGCCCGGCUGGAGGCCGGAAGAGGAGGGUGGAAUACCCAGUGUAGAGGUGAAAUGCGUAGAUAUUGGGUGGAACACCGGUGGCGAAAGCGGCUCCCUGGUCUGGCCCUGACGCUGAGGCGCGAAAGCGUGGGGAGCAAACAGG